rnacentral:rRNA from 1 species
GAUGAACGCUGACAGAAUGCUUAACACAUGCAAGUCAACUUGAAUUUGGGUUUUUAACUUAGGUUUGGGUGGCGGACGGGUGAGUAACGCGUAAAGAACUUGCCUCACAGCUAGGGACAACAUUUGGAAACGAAUGCUAGUACCUAAUAUUAUGAUAAUAGGGCAUCCUAUAAUUAUGAAAGCUAUAAGCGCUGUGAGAGAGCUUUGCGUCCCAUUAGCUAGUUGGAGAGGUAACGGCUCACCAAGGCGAUGAUGGGUAGCCGGCCUGAGAGGGUGAUCGGCCACAAGGGGACUGAGACACGGCCCUUACUCCUACGGGAGGCAACAGUGGGGAAUAUUGGACAAUGGACCGAGAGUCUGAUCCAGCAAUUCUGUGUGCACGAUGAAGUUUUUCGGAAUGUAAAGUGCUUUCAGUUGGGAAGAAACAAAUGACGGUACCAACAGAAGAAGUGACGGCUAAAUACGUG